rnacentral:lncRNA from 1 species
UUCGUUCGCAAGGGAGCGCCCUUCCGGGGUCAGGGUCGUGAAGAGACACUCGAGAAUUAGGGUCCUGGACUGCAGUGGGGCCGGGCCUGGACUUCGGGCAGGUGUUUCCUGGCCGCCCUGGGGCCCUGCAGCACCGAGGGCCGCGCUGAUCUCAGGGCUCAGGCGGACGAGGGGCCGCCACAGGCACCUUAGGACCCUGGCGGCCUGAAGGCCUGGGGCCUUCAGGAAAGCCUCGGGCACUCCCAGCGGGGGACCUAGCGCCAGGUCACGAUUCCAUUCGGGGCGGGGAGCUUCUAAGCAGGAGUUGCUGACCAAGGAAAGAGUCUGGACCCGGGACCUCAUCCCUGAGGACCAGACCACGACCUUGGAGCUCAGCUCUCAGUCCUUCCCGGCUAGGGAUGCGGAGGGGUCGGGAGCUCGACGGCUAAGCGGCAGGGAAUCCUGAGUUCCUAGAGAUCUACAGAAAGCAGAAGAACGACACUAGAUGAGACUAGACAGUGACGGCGGAAGGACGGAACCACAUGGAGACUGACACACUUUGCGAGUUGGGACUCAAUUGCAUUUCUUUAAGUCCUUGAUUCCGAAGUUUCCCCGCCCUCCUAUGCAAGAGCGUUUGGGGAAACUAAGUUCCUUAGACUCUUUCAUCCUUGUUAUGUGAGCUCAGGGAGGAAGGCAGACAAUAGCUGCAGCCUAAACACCUGCUAUCUCUCAAUGCAAUAAGAUAUAGACGGUGAUUGGAGUCGUUUCUCUUUUUGCUUCCAGAGGGAGCUCAAACCUGAAGCAUCAAGGUUAUCUUUUUCCAAAGGAUUUGUGUGAACCUAAGUUCGGUACCUGCGACGAGUAAAAACACUUAUUUGACCCUCUAGAGACUCAGCUAGAACUGACUGAGCAAAGGGAAAUCGGGCAAAAGAAAGGGAAGGUACUGAGGAGAAAACGGCAGAUGUUGUUAUCUCCCGCUGAGAGGCGCGGCCGGCGGGGCCGGAUCCUCCGCUUCCCGCGACUGCCGGAGUCGCGCUGGACUAGGCUGACCGCGCAGGGCGGCGAGGCUGGAAGGGAGGUCUCCGCCCGACAAUGCGCAGGUGCCAGAGGAGCCAGGAGGAGUGAGAAGCGCCCUAGACCCGCGGCCUCAAGCGCCAUGCACGUCAAGGGGAAGUGACUCCGGAGUUGUGCCAGGAAGAACACCAAGAACGAGCUGUGCGUUUUUGCGCAGAGAAGUAGUCUUCGCAAGACCGCAGCUCCCUGCCGAAGGCCCAGAAAGGGAGUGCGGGGGAGAGGGCAAACUAGUGAGUUUGGCUGGCAGUGCUCCCCCGACACACCCCACUUUCUU